rfam:Lysinibacillus manganicus DSM 26584 contig5, whole genome shotgun sequence.
AUUUGAAAAAGGCAAAUCUAUCGAAAGGUAGAGACGCAAAGUCACAGAUCUAAGGGAAACUAGGAUGGCUGGUCUACCAAA